rnacentral:rRNA from 1 species
GUUAUAUGGUCAAGCGAAUAAGCGCACACGGUGGAUGCCUAGGCGGUCAGAGGCGAUGAAGGACGUGGUAGCCUGCGAAAAGUGUCGGGGAGCUGGCAACAAGCUUUGAUCCGGCAAUAUCCGAAUGGGGAAACCCACUGCUUCGGCAGUAUCCUGCAGUGAAUUCAUAGCUGCUGGAAGCGAACCCGGUGAACUGAAAUAUCUAAGUAACCGGAGGAAAAGAAAUCAACCGAGAUUCCCUAAGUAGUGACGAGCGAACGGGGAGCAGCCCUUAAGCUGGAAUGGCUUUAGAAAAACAAUCUGGAAAGAUUGGCCAUAGAAGGUGAUAGCCCUGUAUUUAAAAGGGCCACUCCAGUGAAGACGAGUAGGGCGGGGCACGUGAAACCCUGUCUGAACAUGGGGGGACCAUCCUCCAAGGCUAAAUACUCCUGACCGACCGAUAGUGAACCAGUACCGUGAGGGAAAGGCGAAAAGAACCCCGGAGAGGGGAGUGAAAUAGAUCCUGAAACCGUGUGCGUACAAGCAGUAGGAGCUCGCAAGAGUGACUGCGUACCUUUUGUAUAAUGGGUCAGCGACUUACUGUUCGUGGCAAGCUUAACCGUAUAGGGGAGGCGAAGGGAAACCGAGUCUGAUAAGGGCGCAUAGUCGCGGGCAGUAGACCCGAAACCGGGUGAUCUAGUCAUGGCCAGGGUGAAGGUGCCGUAACAGGUACUGGAGGCCCGAACCCACGUCUGUUGCAAAAGACGGGGAUGAGCUGUGAUUAGGAGUGAAAAGCUAAUCGAACCCGGAGAUAGCUGGUUCUCCUCGAAAGCUAUUUAGGUAGCGCCUCGGACGAAUACUACUGGGGGUAGAGCACUGUUAUGGCUAGGGGGUCAUCGCGACUUACCAAACCAUUGCAAACUCCGAAUACCAGUACGUACUAUCCGGGAGACACACGGCGGGUGCUAACGUCCGUCGUGAAAAGGGAAACAACCCAGACCCACAGCUAAGGUCCCAAAUUCACUGCUAAGUGGAAAACGAUGUGGAAAGGCAUAGACAGCCAGGAGGUUGGCUUAGAAGCAGCCACCCUUUAAAGAAAGCGUAAUAGCUCACUGGUCGAGUCGGUCUGCGCGGAAGAUUUAACGGGGCUAAGCAGUGAACCGAAGCUUGGGGUGCGUAAAACUUCGGUUUUAUGCGCGGUAGAGGAGCGUUCCGUAAGCCUGCGAAGGUGGAUUGAGAAGUCUGCUGGAGGUAUCGGAAGUGCGAAUGCUGACAUGAGUAACGAUAAUGCGGGUGAAAAGCCCGCACGCCGAAAGCCCAAGGUUUCCUUGCGCAACGUUAAUCGACGCAGGGUUAGUCGGUCCCUAAGGCGAGGGCGAAAGCCGUAGUCGAUGGGAAGCAGGUUAAUAUUCCUGCACCUCGCGUGAGUGCGAUGGAGGGACGGAGAAGGUUAGGUGUACCGGGCGUUGGUUGUCCCGGGGAAAGGCGGUAGGUUUGGAUCUUUGGCAAAUCCGGGAUCCUUUAAGACCGAGCACCGAGACGAGCCUUUAUGGCGAAGUCACUGAUACCACGCUUCCAGGAAAAGCUCCUAAGCUUCAGCUCACGAAGACCGUACCGUAAACCGACACAGGUGGGUAGGAUGAGAAUUCUCAGGCGCUUGAGAGAACUCGGGUGAAGGAACUAGGCAACAUGGCACCGUAACUUCGGGAGAAGGUGCACCCUUUUUGGUGGCUCAUGCGAGCUAUAGCUGAAGAGGGUCGCAGAAACCAGGCCGCUGCGACUGUUUAUCAAAAACACAGCACUCUGCAAACACGAAAGUGGACGUAUAGGGUGUGACGCCUGCCCGGUGCUGGAAGGUUAAUUGAUGGGGUCAGCCGCAAGGCGAAGCUCUUGAUCGAAGCCCCAGUAAACGGCGGCCGUAACUAUAACGGUCCUAAGGUAGCGAAAUUCCUUGUCGGGUAAGUUCCGACCUGCACGAAUGGCGUAACGACAGCGGCGCUGUCUCCACCCGAGACUCAGUGAAAUUGAAAUCGCUGUGAAGAUGCAGCGUUCCCGUGGCAAGACGGAAAGACCCCGUGAACCUUUACUAUAGCUUUACACUGAACGUUGAGUUCGUCUGUGUAGGAUAGGUGGGAGGCUAUGAAACUGUGGCGCUAGCUGCAGUGGAGCCAUCCUUGAAAUACCACCCUGUCGUGCUUGACGUUCUAACCUAGGUCCGUUAUCCGGAUCAGGGACCGUGUAUGGUGGGUAGUUUGACUGGGGCGGUCUCCUCCUAAAGAGUAACGGAGGAGCACGAAGGUACGCUCAGCGCGGUCGGACAUCGCGCACUGUGUGCAAAGGCAUAAGCGUGCUUGACUGCAAGAUCGACGGAUCAAGCAGGUACGAAAGUAGGUCUUAGUGAUCCGGUGGUUCUGUAUGGAAGGGCCAUCGCUCAACGGAUAAAAGGUACUCCGGGGAUAACAGGCUGAUACCGCCCAAGAGUUCAUAUCGACGGCGGUGUUUGGCACCUCGAUGUCGGCUCAUCACAUCCUGGGGCUGUAGUCGGUCCCAAGGGUAUGGCUGUUCGCCAUUUAAAGUGGUACGCGAGCUGGGUUCAGAACGUCGUGAGACAGUUCGGUCCCUAUCUGCCAUGGGCGUUGGAAGUUUGAGAGGGGCUGCUCCUAGUACGAGAGGACCGGAGUGGACGAACCUCUGGUGUUCCGGUUGUCACGCCAGUGGCAUUGCCGGGUAGCUAUGUUCGGAAGCGAUAACCGCUGAAAGCAUCUAAGCGGGAAGCGCGCCUCAAGAUGAGACUUCCCGGGGCACAAGCCCCCUAAAGGAACCAUGUAGACUACGUGGUUGAUAGGUCAGGUGUGUAAGUACAGCAAUGUAUUGAGCUAACUGAUACUAAUGAUCCGUGCGGCUUGACCAUAUAACCUCA